rnacentral:rRNA from 1 species
AAACCAGCACCUCAAGUGGUCAGGAUGAUUAUUGGGCCUAAAGCAUCCGUAGCCGGCUCUGUAAGUUUUCGGUUAAAUCUGUACGCUCAACGUACAGGCUGCUGGGAAUACUGCAGAGCUAGGGAGUGGGAGAAGUAGACGGUACUCGGGAGGAAGUGGUAAAAUGCUUUGAUCUCUCGAUGACCACCUGUGGCGAAGGCGGUCUACCAGAACACGUCCGACGGUGAGGGAUGAAAGCUGGGGGAGCAAACCGGAUUAGAAACCCCGGUAGUCC